GCUCAAGGUAACAUGCUACCUGUUGCCAAGGAAACCAAGCGUCUGGAGCCCCCACUGAAUCACUGAACUCUCAGAUAUUUUGGAAAGUGCUUCAACCGUACCGUACACGAUGCACCUCGCAAGACUGGAAAAGGGCCCCAGCUGUGGGCGGGAGGUACGGAUUAAGCCACGGGGUUCCAGCCAAAUUCCCUCCAUCCGCUGAUGACUGGAGGAGAGUGGGGACGUUGGCCGGGCCAGCCUGCAAUCUCGCUGUUUUCCAUUUGGGGGAGCUCUGGUGCCAUUAUGCGGUGCAGAGCGCAGGAGUCCGCUCUUUCUCAAGACACACUGUUGUGAACCUAACAGUGUAGAGUCACCGGGAACAAGGACAACAUUUCACAAAAGAGCGAUCAGAACACCACAGGAGGUUUUGCAUUCCGUUUGAACCCGAAACGGACUCUCCCGGACGUGGUCUGUGGAGUUUCUGCUUCGUCCAAACAUCCAUUACAACUGGCCAGUGAUGGACGGGCCCUUCAGUACUGAAUCAGAACCAGGUCAGUGAUGGACGGGCCCUUCAGUACUGAAUCAGAACCAGGUCAGUGAUGGACGGGCCCUUCAGUACUGAAUCAGAACCAGGCCAGUGAUGGACAGGCCCUUCAGUACUGAAUCAGAACCAGGCCAGUGAUGGACAUGCCCUUCAGUACUGUAUCAGGACCAGUUUCUGGUCCAGGCGAGAGCACCGAAUUCAGCUGCUGCCGGCCUAGCAAAAAAAGCCUGUCUGAGCCUCGUGCCUCGUUCUCAAAAGGGCUUUCUCAGAAACGGCAACACAUCUGAGCUGGAACAAACCAAGCGGCGGCUGUGAAAAGAGCACCCGCGUGGGAACACCUGCGCCCCAGGAGCUCGAAGCUCGAGGUUCGACGCUUGGCUUUAAUCCCCCCUCCGCGCGGGCUGACAGACGCAAACGCUUUCACGCCAUGCGAGACGCAUGCAGCUCCCGCGGUGAUCACGCUGGAGAGUGGCAGAUUGCACAACGUCUGACAUGUAAUCACAUCGCCCUCCCUUAUCACCCCCCCCCAUCCCCCUCAGGGCAUGCUACACGGCCCAUGCCCCAGCAUGCACUGCUCUCCGCUCUCACCCAGGGAGACGAGGCCCUCGUGGGCUGGGCUGAGGGAGCAGAACAGCACUCAGUCUUAUUAUCCUCCCUGGCCUCGUUGCUCCUGAUCCUGAGACAGACUCUUUCACCGCCAGCCUCCACUAUGACCGUGAGCAGCUGUGACAUAUGGAGAAAGCCUCCCAUGGAUUUGUACACUAUAUUACAACAUUAGAAUUUAUUUUCCAUGCUGAAGUCUGCAUAAAACAAUAAUAAUAAUAGUAAUUAUUAGUAUUGUUGUUAUUAUUAUUAUUAUUAUUAUUAUUAUUAUAUUUGUGAAAUCUAAAUGAAAAGCUUGGAACUGAGCACUGACCCAUGGGAGUGUUUGGCUGCAGUAAUCCCACAUACAAAUUUUUCUGCUCUAACUCUACUUCUCUCUUUUUCUGAGUCUGUCAUCCUCUUUUUCUUAUGCACUGAGAAACUGUACAUGAUGUGGCGUUCUCUCAAACCGGUCACACAGGCCAACUGGAAGAAAAAAUAAACAAGAGCGACAUGUAAGGACUCUCUGGAGGAAAGGCUUCAUCAUGUCUGAAACAUUCCAAUAAGACCUAAGAGAAAAUCAUGGUAGCUACUGAAGAAUGACAAAGACUUGGACCUCCUUGACUGUUCCAUAAACACAGGCUGGGGACGUGUGUCCUUCCAAGGCAUGUGAUUCACCUCCUUGUUCUGAGGUGAACUUUGGAAAGAUGUCACAAUUCCAGCUGUGGUUCCAACGCCACCGGCAGCACCCAUUGAACUUCAGGAAGAUUUGGCCACGCCGCCUACUUCCUGAUGAUUAUCGACAAGGAGAGUCCUUGGGUUCAUGUGGCGCAAUGUAACACAGUGUACUCCAGGACAAGUUGGCUCAGACAUGAAUCAAAUACGACAACUGUGCAAGCUCAGGGAACGCAAAGCCACGUCGAUGUCCUUCUAAUUCCAGGGCACCGGCUGCUUCGCCCUGGCCACGUCCUAAAAUCCCACAAUUCUAGCAAAGGCUAAACGCAGAUGUCCUUACAAGGAAGGCACUUAACUGGGGGAAGGGAAGGCCGGACCAUGUGGCGUGGAAUGACACAGCCCAGUAAGCUGAAGAUGAGGCCCGAGGCCUGUGAUUACGCAUCGAGCCUGUCAAAACAAAGGCUGGGUGACCUGGCUCAGUGAAGUUAAGUACUGAUCCUGGCCGUGGAUGUAGUCAGAAUCUGGUUCCUGGCACAAAGCAGUUUUAUAACAAGCUCUCUCCGAGGUCUCACGUGUCUGGAAAAUCUGGGACAGCGGACAACCUCUGCCCCCGUCGGAGAACACGCCCAGGCUGGCUGGGGCUUUGACGGCAGCCCCAGACCUGCCCCAUCCUGCAGCCGCCAGCCCUCACAAAGCAAACACGGCCUCCUGGCCCUCCCUCUCACCGCCCGGCGUGCUCACACUGUACAGUCCGCUGUGGAGUCAUACUGACCUGCUUUCUGCAUGCAUGGAGCCCUGAGCGUGGAGCAUAGACCUAUUACAGAGUCAGUGCUUCCUUAUUCUUUGAAUGCCUCUAUUUACACCAGUGCUUGUAAUUUAAUGCAGAACUUAUUACAACACAUUUGACCUAUUGAUAAAUGGGCUAUAUAAAUAAAUACUUUUUUUUUUUUUUU